rnacentral:lncRNA from 1 species
AAAUCAGAGUGUAAGGCGACGUACCGGAGGCAUGGAGUCGCCGCUUAUCCAGCAUACUAAUGAGUCCCUUACAUCAUACAGGUCUAAGUCCGGCUGAAGAAGACAAACACUUGUAUGAUAACGGAAAAAUUCGUUAACUCCUGAAGUGGACGAUUCAAACUGUAUAUUAGUUGAGGAGUAUAUACAACAGUGAUUUCGUUUGUGAAGAACUCACUGCUAUAAUCUGCAAUAUUGUAUUCCAUUUUGUUCAUAUACUUUUAAUAGUCGGUAAUUUCUUGAACAUUACAAUACAAGUAGCGAUAAUACAAAAUAAUAAGAUUGUUCAAUUUUUCAAAGGUUGACAAAUUAAAGAUCAAUACCUAAAUAUCAAUUCAACAAGAAUCAACGUUGAAUCGCGUAGACUUUUGAGUUGGUAUGCGUCCAGCUGGGUGAAAGACAGCCAAUUAUCGAUAUUUUAGGUAUACCUUGAACUAACGUCGAACUUAGAUCGCUAAUAACAUUCACUGAUGAAUGGCAAAAGAGUUUGCGGCCAAUUGAACACUUGAAGGAGGCGAGACUAUAAUAAAACUAAAUGAAAG